GCGUCCCGUUAGUUUCACCAGAAUUAAUUUGGUUCUUAAAUUUCAACAAACGUGUCCAAAAUGAGUUGGAGUCGUUUCCAGAUUUGGAAUAUUUCAUAGGCAGAGACUGUGAUCCGAGCAAACGAAAGGAUCAUCCAGAAGGGAUCUCGAGUUUCUCCCCAUCGAAGUUCACGUGGUUCUGACGAUGUUUUCUAUUCCCACACCACGACUUCCCUUCCUCCCGUCCCAGGCACAGUGCUCUGCUCGCUCGCCGUUGCGCUCGUCCUGCUCCUGGCGACCACCGUGGCUCGACCUCAAUCUGAGUCCCAGGUGCGCAUGGCGGCACCCCACGGCCAAUCUCUAGGGGUCUCCUGGCCGCACAUGUCCCAAACGCUGUCCUCUGGAUCCAAACUGGCCGAGACUACUCGCUUGGCUGCCAACAGAUUGCUCCGAGACUACAACAAGAAGAUGCUGGCUGGUGCAGAGAUUGGAGCUCAUCACCGAAUUCCUAAUACACCCCUGCCUGAAUGCUCCAACAAGCCAACUACCCCAAAUGCCUUCUGGAACUAUGUCAAAGAAUCUUGCCUUCCGAGCAUCCUCCGAUCAUUGCGGUUCCACAAGCAAGAGCUGCAAGACCUAAACAACACCCGAAAGGAGUUUGGCAAUCAGCUGUUUCGUCUCCUCAACAACAUUGAAGAGCUGAUCAAGCUCCUAUCUGCAGAGAUUCACAGUGGUGUGGAACAGGUACAGCUGCCUGAAGAACAAGUACCUUUCCCGACAAGAACGGGUGAUCUGGGCAGCUGGGAGAACAUCGUGCAUGAACACAACCUUUUGACUAGCUUCGCUCAUGAAGCAGAGAAUAUCGCUCGCAUCUUGCGUCCACUACGCCCUCGAUAACACCACCCUAUCUCCAACAUCCUGAGUCCUCAACACCCUCGAUAACACCACCCUAUCUCCAACAUCCUGAGUCUACUACAGCCUCGAUAACACCACCCUAUCUCCAACAUCCUGAGUCUACUACAGCCUCGAUAACACCACCCUAUCUCCAACAUCCUGAGUCCUCUACGCCUUCGAUAACACGACCCUAUCUCCAACAUCCUGAGUCCUCUACGCCCUCGAUAACACCACCCUAUCUCCAACAUCCUGAGUCCACUACACCCUCGAUAACACCACCCUAUCUCCAACAUCCUGAGUGCUCUACGCCCUCGAUAACACCACCCUAUCUCCAACAUCCUGAGUCCUCUACACCCUCGAUAACACCACCCUAUCUCCAACAUCCUGAGUGCUCUACGCCCUCGAUAACAUGACCCUAUGUCCCUCACCCUGCAUCCUCGACACCCUCGAUAACAUGACCCGAUUGAGGAUCUGCAUUCACACGGCGCUUUGGUAUACCAGGACACUGUGACCUGUUCAGAAUGUAUGAUGACACAAUGUCUCUCUGAACCCUCUAGAGCCCACGAAAUGUUCUGAAAGAACAAAAACCGAUGACCCCUGGGGCUCUAGAGGGUUAAAGAAUUUAUUUUUUUAAACAGACUGUUUAUUUCUAAUUAGGGUACCCUGUGAGUACAGGGUACCCUAUUGUUUUUCUUCUGUUUAUUUAUUAUUUAUUUAUUUUUUUAUUUUUCCGCCGGCAUUUUGCACCCUUUUUCGCUUUAAAAAUCAUUUUCUCUGGGACACUAAGACCGAUCGACACGAAAUUUUCACCAUAGGAUGUAUCUUUUUUGAUAGCACAAUCAAGUUAUAAUUAUGACGUCAUUGGUCACGUGGUGCGGGCGCCAUCUUGAAAAAAACAGUAAACUUUGGACCUCUGUAUCUCAGAAACCGUGCAAUGGAAAAUUUUUUCGCUUGAUACAUUUUACUAAGCUCCCUAUGGGGAACACGUGUGAUUUUUCGUGACGUCAUAGGUGAAGCGAUAUACCGGUGAAAAUUCGUCAAGUAGAACGCCGUAUGGGAAAAAUCUGAAAAAUUCUGAGCAUCAUCUACGCCUAAAAUCACUGACGAAAAUGUUUUUCUUGACGUCAUCGAUGACGUAAUUCGGCCGCCAUCUUGUUUUUUAGUGUUUUUUUUUUUUAAUCUUCUUCUCCAGAAGGGCUGGACAGAUUGAGGCGAGACUUUACAGGUACAUUCUCCAAGAGGUCCUUUCUCAAGUUUGUUAAUUUCUUGUUGACAGGUCACAUGGUUUGGCGGCCAUCUUGAAAAAACCUUAAAACCUUCAAACAUCUUCUUCUCCAGAAGCGCUGGUCCAAUGAAGGCGAGAUUUCAGAACUAUAUUCGUGACAUG
ensembl:lincRNA